GAUGAACGCUGGCGGCGUGCCUAAUACAUGCAAGUCGAGCGAACGGACGAGAAGCUUGCUUCUCUGAUGUUAGCGGCGGACGGGUGAGUAACACGUGGAUAACCUACCUAUAAGACUGGGAUAACUUCGGGAAACCGUAGCUAAUACCGGAUAAUAUUUUGAACCGCAUGGUUCAAAAGUGAAAGAUGGUCUUGCUGUCACUUAUAGAUGGAUCCGCGCUGCAUUAGCUAGUUGGUAAGGUAACGGCUUACCAAGGCAACGAUGCAUAGCCGACCUGAGAGGGUGAUCGGCCACACUGGAACUGAGGCACGGGCCAGACUCCUACGGGAGGCAGCAGUAGGGAAUCUUCCGCAAUGGGCGAAAGCCUGACGGAGCAACGCCGCGGGAGUGAUGAAGGUCUUCGGAUCGUAAAACUCUGUUAUUAGGGAAGAACAUAUGUGUAAGUAACUGUGCACAUCUUGACGGUACCUAAUCAGAAAGCCACGGCUAACUACGUG
rnacentral:rRNA from 1 species